GGGAAAAAGUUCAUCAAUUGGGGAAAGUAAUGAGAUGGUCAGUGUCUGUACAGGUUCAACGAACAGCAAUUUCAUUGUGCUGUCUCAUCAUAGGCUAAAUAUCCUUCGAGAACAAUCAAAUCCCCAAAAAAUUAUUAAGAAUUCUUGGCGGGCAGUAUUCUGCUGACAGAUUUGGUCAUGGCUCUUGCAUAUGCAUGCAACAUUGGCAUCAUCUUGUGCUUUUGUCCUUAGCUUGCAAAUGAAUUGAGAUUUCCCGACUUCACCUAGCGGUUUCUUCCUCGCGCAGUUACACUGAAAAAUGGGUUCCAAUAUUUUGGGCCCUUAAACAGAUCUUCCAAUGAUUCAAAUCUCUGUGUCCCCGUCUUGUGUCCUCCUAACUGAGAAGUUCAUUCCUCAAAGUGCUUUGAUCAGUUGUCUAGAGAAACGCUCGCUUCAAAAAUAAAAGUCAGAGCUCAUAUUCU
rnacentral:misc_RNA from 1 species